CACAGUCUGGGAGGGAAGUUCAAAACUAACACCUCUGAUGGAAGGAGAAAGGACAGAGAGGACUAGUCAAAGUCCGUUGCAGAAUAGAUUAACAGCAUCAGAGAAAAAUAAUGACGUAACUACUGCUACUGCAUAAGUCACCCAUCUACAUGUUCAAUACUAUCAGUACAGGAUCAACAUCAGGACUACUUGCUGGAGUAGAGGGUAAAUGCCAACAUGGCUCGUUUCCAUGUUGUAACUUCCUGGCCAAUAUUUCUCC